rnacentral:misc_RNA from 1 species
AAGUCGUAACAAGGUCUCCGUAGGUGAACCUGCGGAGGGAUCAUUACCGAGUGAGGGCGCCUCGUGCGCCCGACCUCCCAACCCUUUGAUUGAAAACAAACCUCGUUCUGCCUCAGGGGCGACCCGGAGCCUCCGGGCGCCGCGGUCCCCCCGGUGGACACACUUAACCCUGCAUCAAUUGUCGUCUGAGUCUAUUGAAAAAUUCAAUUAAAACUUUCAACAACGGAUCUCUUGGUUCUG